CACUCGGUGUCCUCCCCUCCUCCUCCCUCCUGCCCGUCCCGGAUCUAUAUAAACGUCUCGGCAAAUCGGACCCGGAUCCAGAAUCCAGCAUGAAUCCCGUUGUGGUCUCCCUGUUCCUGGGCCUGGUUUUGUGCAGCGUGGGCGCGCAGGCGCAGCAGGGCGGAGGGACUCCUGGACUCUGCCCAGUAGUAACAGUCAACUGCGAAGGUCCUCCAUCCACAGCAGUAUGUGCCUCUGACAAGGAGUGUCCUAGGGGUCAAAAGUGCUGCAUCGUCCUCUGCGACUUUGCCUGUAUAUCUGUCUGAUAAUGCAUUCGGUGACCCCCCCCCCUGUGAUAAGCAGCAGCCCCCCAACCCGCAGCGGCUUCCCGGAGACAUCCCGGAUCAUUGGAGAAGCGAGGAAUACACCGUCGCCAUCUGGUGGCCGGGAGCCGUAACAUCAGCCGGCGUGCUGUCCGUGCGCUUUAUCCUGCACCCCGACGCUUUAAACCCACAGCGUGUCUCAGAAACCCAGUAACGGUCUCUACGCGAGACGUCUCUGCCAAUAAAUGCAUCCAAUAAA